rnacentral:rRNA from 1 species
UACGGGGGGGGCAAGCGUUGUUCGGAAUUACUGGGCGUAAAGGCGCGUAGGCGGUUCGCUAAGUUGGAUGUGAAAACUCUGGGCUCAACCCAGAGCCUGCAUCCAAAACUGGCGGGCUAGAGUUCUGGAGGGGGUAGCGGAAUUCCUGGUGUAGCGGUGAAAUGCGUAGAUAUCGGAAGGAACAUCAGUGGCGAAAGCGGCUUCCUGGACCAGCACCCGACGUUCAGGCACGAAAGCGUGGGGAGCAAACAGG